CAUAACCCUAACUUCUUUCCCCUUUGCCUCCAAUCCUCUCAACUGAGCGCCUUUUGCCCUCUCCCUUCCUUGUCCUCGCUCUGCUCCGCGCCUCCGCCAUUGCUGCCGGUGACUUGCGUCCCGUGGCCCUGUUCUCUCUUCCUCUCCCUUCCUCGUAGCACCGCUCUCUCUCUGUCGUCCUCCCCGGCACGGCUCUACGCAGCACGCCGUCGUCCUCUCCCAGCAGCACGCCGUCGUCCUCUCCCAGCAGCACACCAUCGUCCUCCACGGAUCCACGAAGGCCGUAGCAACACGCCGUCGUCCUUGUAGCGCCUAUCUCUCCGUCGUCCUCCCUGCACUCUGACUCUGUCUACAUCAGCAAAUCAUCAAGAAUGGAGCAUGAGUAAGUUUGAUCAUAGUACGAGGGAUAACAUUAGUGAAACUGAAGGUGGAACUGAUGGACAUGUAAUGCUCCUCCAAACAAAUCUGUAAAUAUAAGAUCACCAACAAAUUGAUUGAUUGAAUUAUUUUUUCA